AGAGUUUGAUCCUGGCUCAGAUUGAACGCUGGCGGCAUGCCUUACACAUGCAAGUCGAACGGCAGCACGGGUGCUUGCACCUGGUGGCGAGUGGCGAACGGGUGAGUAAUAUAUCGGAACGUACCUUAUCGUGGGGGAUAACGCAGCGAAAGCUGCGCUAAUACCGCAUACGCCCUGAGGGGGAAAGCGGGGGACCGUAAGGCCUCGCGCGAUUAGAGCGGCCGAUAUCUGAUUAGCUUGUUGGUGGGGUAAAAGCCCACCAAGGCGACGAUCAGUAGCUGGUCUGAGAGGACGAUCAGCCACACUGGGACUGAGACACGGCCCAGACUCCUACGGGAGGCAGCAGUGGGGAAUUUUGGACAAUGGGGGCAACCCUGAUCCAGCAAUGCCGCGUGAGUGAAGAAGGCCUUCGGGUUGUAAAGCUCUUUUGUCAGGGAAGAAACAGCAGCUCUAACACAGUCUGCGAAUGACGGUACCUGAAGAAUAAGCACCGGCUAACUACGUGCCAGCAGCCGCGGUAAUACGUANGGUGCAAGCGUUAAUCGGAAUUACUGGGCGUAAAGCGUGCGCAGGCGGUUAUACAAGACAGGCGUGAAAUCCCCGGG
rnacentral:rRNA from 1 species